rnacentral:rRNA from 1 species
CAGGAUUAGAUACCCUGGUAGUCCACGCUGUAAACGAUGUCGAUUUGGAGUUUGGGGGCAUGACCCUUGGGCUCCGGAGCUAACGCGUUAAAUCGACCGCCUGGGGAGUACGGCCGCAAGGUUAAAACUCAAAUGAAUUGACGGGGGCCCGCACAAGCGGUGGAGCAUGUGGUUUAAUUCGAUGCAACGCGAAGAACCUUACCUGGUCUUGACAUCCAUAGAAUCUUGUAGAGAUACGAGAGUGCCUUCGGGGGCUAUGAGACAGGUGCUGCAUGGCUGUCGUCAGCUCGUGUUGUGAAAUGUUGGGUUAAGUCCCGCAACGAGCGCAACCCUUAUCCUUUGUUGCCAGCGGGUAAAGCCGGGAACUCAAAGGAGACUGCCGUUGAUAAAGCGGAGGAAGGUGGGGACGACGUCAAGUCAUCAUGGCCCUUACGACCAGGGCUACACACGUGCUACAAUGGCGUAUACAAAGGGAAGCGAAGGUGCGAACUGGAGCGGACCUCCUAAAGUACGUCUAAGUCCGGAUUGGAGUCUGCAACUCGACUCCAUGAAGUCGGAAUCGCUAGUAAUCGUGAAUCAGAAUGUCACGGUGAAUACGUUCCCGGGCCUUGUACACACCGCCCGUCACACCAUGGGAGUGGGUUGCACCAGAAGUAGAUAGCUUAACCGCAAGGGGGGCGUUUACCACGGUGUGAUUCAUGACUGGGGUGAAGUCGUAACAAGGUAACCA